rnacentral:rRNA from 1 species
CCAAUAGCGUAUAUUAAAGUUGUUGCAGUUAAAAAGCUCGUAGUUGAAUUUCGGGGUCAGUAGGUUGGUCGUGCCGCUGGUAUGCACUGGCCUUACUGAUUCCUCCUUCUUGAAGAACUGUGAUGUCAUUUACUUGGUGUUGCAGGGAAACAGGACUGUUACUUUGAAAAAAUUAGAGUGUUUAAAGCAGGCUAACGCUUGAAUAUAUUAGCAUGGAAUAAUGAAAUAGGACGUUUGAUCCUAUUUUGUUGGUUUCUAGGAUUGACGUAAUGAUUAAUAGGGAUAGUUGGGGGCAUUAGUAUUCAAUUGUCAGAGGUGAAAUUCUUGGAUUUAUUGAAGACUAACUACUGCGAAAGCAUUUGCCAAGGAUGUUUUCAUUAAUCAAGAACGAAAGUUAGGGGAUCGAAGACGAUCAGAUACCGUCGUAGUCUUAACCAUAAACUAUGCCGACUAGGGAUCGGAUGAUGUUAAUUUUUUAAUGACUCAUUCGGCGCCUUACG